rnacentral:rRNA from 1 species
CCCUCCCAAGAUUAGGUCUCCCUGAUUAUUUAAUAAUCCUAAAGAUCCCUCGAAGACUACGAGGUUGAUAGGCUAGGUGUGAAAGUGCAGCAAUGUAUUGAGCUAACUAGUACUAAUUGAUCGUGAGGCUUGACCAUAUAAAACCCAAG